rnacentral:rRNA from 1 species
UACGUAGGGCGCAAGCGUUAUCCGGAAUUAUUGGGCGUAAAGAGCUCGUAGGCGGUUUGUCGCGUCUGCCGUGAAAGUCCGGGGCUCAACUCCGGAUCUGCGGUGGGUACGGGCAGACUAGAGUGAUGUAGGGGAGACUGGAAUUCCUGGUGUAGCGGUGAAAUGCGCAGAUAUCUGGAGGAACACCGGUGGCGAAGGCGACGCCUGGACCGGCAUUGACGCUGAGGCGCGAAAGCCAGGGGAGCAAAGCGGG